rnacentral:rRNA from 1 species
GCAGUUAACCCAAUAAGUAAUCCACCUGGGGAGUACGACCGCAAGGGUUGAAACUCAAAGGAAUUGACGGGGGCCCGCACAAGCAGUGGAGUAUGUGGUUUAAUUCGACGCAACGCGAAGAACCUUACCAAGUCUUGACAUCCUGCGACGCACAUAGAAAUAUGUGUUUCCUUCGGGACGCAGAGACAGGUGGUGCAUGGUUGUCGUCAGCUCGUGUCGUGAGAUGUUGGGUUAAGUCCCGCAACGAGCGCAACCCUUAUGGUCAGUUACUACGCAAGAGGACUCUGGCCAGACUGCCGUUGACAAAACGGAGGAAGGUGGGGAUGACGUCAAAUCAUCAUGCCCUUUAUGACUUGGGCUACACACGUACUACAAUGGCGUUAAACAAAGAGAAGCAAGACCGCGAGGUGGAGCAAAACUCAGAAACAACGUCCCAGUUCGGACUGCAGGCUGCAACUCGCCUGCACGAAGUCGGAAUUGUUAGUAAUCGCAGAUCAGCAUGCUGCGGUGAAUACGUUCCCGGGCCUUGUACACACCGCCCGUCACACCAUGAGAGCCGGGGGGACCCGAAGUCGGUAAUCUAGCCGCAAGGAGGGCGCCGCCGAAGGU